rnacentral:rRNA from 1 species
GACGGACGCUGGCGGCGUGCUUAACACAUGCAAGUCGAACGGAAAGGCCCCAGCUUGCUGGGGUACUCGAGUGGCGAACGGGUGAGUAACACGUGGGUGAUCUGCCCUGCACUCUGGGAUAAGCCUGGGAAACUGGGUCUAAUACCGGAUAGGACCGUGCUUUAGUGUGUGCGGUGGAAAGUUUUUCGGUGCAGGAUGAGCCCGCGGCCUAUCAGCUUGUUGGUGGGGUAAUGGCCUACCAAGGCGGCGACGGGUAGCCGGCCUGAGAGGGUGUACGGCCACACUGGGACUGAGACACGGCCCAGACUCCUACGGGAGGCAGCAGUGGGGAAUAUUGCACAAUGGGCGCAAGCCUGAUGCAGCGACGCCGCGUGGGGGAUGACGGCCUUCGGGUUGUAAACCCCUUUCGGCAGGGACGAAGCUUUUGUGACGGUACCUGCAUAAGAAGCACCGGCUAACUACGUG